rnacentral:tRNA from 1 species
GGUUGUGUACUUUAUUAAAAGACCUAGCCUGCACCUAGCAAUAGAGUUACCACUCCACAACCCC